rnacentral:lncRNA from 1 species
UCAUGAAACUAUUUAAUUUUAUUAAACUUCAAUUCCUGUUAUAUAUUUGCAGAAGGAAUUUAGUCCACAGGGAAUUUUUCUUUUUUUUUUUCUUUACCAUUUUUUUUUCCAGAGCUGCACCUGUGACAUAUGGAAGUUCCUGGGUUGGGGUUGACUCAGAGAUAUAGCUGCCAGCCUAUGCCACAGCCAUGGCAAAACUGGAUCUUUAACCCACUCAUUGAGGCCAGGGAUUGAACAUGAAUCCUCAAGAGACUAUGAUGAUCCUUAACCCUCUGAGUCACAAUGGGAACUCCUCACAGGAAUUUUCAAUUGCUACGUACCUCUCAAUUUUCAAUUUUUCAUGUGAAGACAUGGAAACUCUUACUUUGGAAUUUUGCCCAAGAUGGUAUCUUACAAUACAAAUGCAAUUAGAAAUUUAACAUGCUCCAUGGAAUGUAUUUUUAAUGAUAAUUUCUACUUCAAAGGGAAACCAAUUCAAGUACAUAUAGACUUAAGUUUGUACGAAGCCGUAUAUAGGUACGUCUACACACAAAGUAUUGUGCAUUGGUGACUUGAGUCUUUUUUCCUCUCUCUUUACAAGCACCUGUUUUGUGUUAUGAGUGCGUGUUUUCCUUUUACUCUGAAAAAGAUACAAGGCUGAGUACAAACCAACGAUUGAAAUAAUUCUAUAUAUUUUUAAACCAGAGGGGGGCUAUUUUACUGCCUUUCCCAUUCUGUGAUUUCCAGCUCAGUCCCUUUGUCAUCAGAAGGUGCAUGGAAAUGAAAUGAUGCUUCCUUUGAUGCUGAGAUAGUCUUUGAAUUUUGCAGUUCCAAUUCUCAGAAGACAACGAUCAGAAAUAACUUUGGAGUGUUUGAAAGUUUUGUUUUCCUACUUCCUGGUAUUGUGCCCUCAUCUUGAAUGAAUUCUUUCUUUCUUUUUUUCAUUUAUUGACCAAUAUGAAGAGGAAACUGUAAGUCCCAUGAAUGCAUUUCCCUGUGUGUUAAGCAUGACUUUAUCGGUUAACUGUGCCUUUCCCUUCAACUUCCAAAGAUCAUCUUUCUCAAAUCCAACACGUGCAUAUUUGCUAUUCAAUCAUCCCUCAAUACUGCUAUUUGAUUUGUCCUGUUAUUGCAGUGUAUUCACAGACAUUCCUUUUAAGUCGAGCAUUUUUUACUAAUCGUAUGCCUCUGAAGUAAUGGUUUGUCACAGUGGCCAAAGUGAAAAUUUUGUCCAAGACAUGCUCAAGUCACAUGAUUUAGACCUACUUCACAUCCAUUAACAUGUCUUUUUGCUGAACAUAAUAAAAUUGUAUUUAAGUAUAGUUAAAAGAGAAAC